UCUCCGUUGGUGAACCAGCGGAGGGAUCAUUACCGAGUUUACAACUCCCAAACCCAACGUGAACCAUACCAAACUGUUGCCUCGGCGGGGUCACGCCCCGGGUGCGUCGCAGCCCCGGAACCAGGCGCCCGCCGGAGGGACCAACCAAACUCUUUCUGUAGUCCCCUCGCGGACGUUAUUUCUUACAGCUCUGAGCAAAAAUUCAAAAUGAAUCAAAACUUUCAACAGCGGAUCUCUUGGUUCUG
rnacentral:misc_RNA from 1 species